rnacentral:misc_RNA from 1 species
GAAGUACAGGCCCCUUCGGGGGCUAAACUUCCACCCUUUGUUUACCUUACCAUUGUUGCUUUGGCGGGCCGCCAUUAGGCCACCGGCCCUCGAGCUGGUGCGUGCCCGCCAGAGACCCCCAAACCCAAACCAUAUUAGUGUCGUCUGAAAACAAGUUUAAAUUAUUAAAACUUUCAACAACGGAUCUCUUGGUUCU